rnacentral:rRNA from 1 species
UGGGCAUCGGUGUCUUUCGAAAGAGUUCGAUCGCAGCUCCAGUUCGACGCUGGCGGGAUGUACACACUGCAAGUCGAACGGCAGCACGGACUUCGGUCGGUGGCGAGUGUGAACGGGUGAGUAAUGUAUCGGAACGUGCUGGUGGCGGGGAUAACUGCGCGGCAGCUAUGCCAGCGCGCCAGGAAAGCGGGGGGCCUUCGGGCCUGCACUAAUAGAAACGGCCGAUGUCGGAUUGGCUAGUUGGUGGGGGUAACGGCUCACCAAGGCGACGAUCCGUAGCUGGUUUGAAGGACGACCAGCCACACUGGGACUGAGACACGGCCCAGACUCUACAGGAGGCAGCGGUAGGGAAUUUUGGACAAUGGAAACCUGAUCCAGCCAUCCCGCGUGUGCGAUGAAGGCCUUCAGGGUUAAAGCACUUUUGGCAGAAAGAAGCAGCGUCAUCCCGUAUGUGGCAGUACCUGCAGAAUAAGCACCAGCUAACUCGUGCCAGCAGCCGCGGUAAUACGUAGGGUGCAAGCGUUAUCCAGAUCACUAAGGGCGUAAAGUAUGCUGAAGCGGUUCUGAAGAAAGAUCUCUCUAAUCCAGAAAGCAACUUUGAACUGCAUUUUUAACUACCGAGCUGAAAGUGUCAGAGGUGGAGAUUGCAAUGUAGCAGUGAAAUGCGUAGAUAUACGGGAGGAACACCGAUGGCGAAGGCAGCCUCCUGGGAUAACACUGACGCUCUUGCAUGAUGGGGGCAAACAGGAUUAGAUACCUGGUAGUCUACGCCCUGGUAACGAUGUCGCUAACUGUUGGGGCCUUCGGGCCUUAGUAGCGCAGCUAACAGCAUGAAGUUGACCACGCCUGGGAAUGCAGAUCACUUAAGAUUAAAACUCAAAGGAAUUGGCGGGGACCCACACAGCGGUGGAUGAUGAGUUAGUUCAUUGCAACUACGAAAAACCUUACUACAUAACGUAACUCACGGAAUCCCGAAGAGAUUGCGGUGCACCAAGAGAACCCGGAGCCACAGGUGCUGCAUGGCUGUCGUCAGCUGUCGUGUGGAUGUUGGGUUAAGUCCCGCAACGAGCGCAACCACUGUCGGUGGUUGCUGCAGGGCACUCUGUCGGACUGCCGGUGACCGAACCGGAGAAGGUGGGGAUGACGUCAAGUCCUCCUGGCCCUUAUGGGUGACUUCACGUCAUACAAUGGUCAGGACUGAAGGUCGCCCAGCGAGAAGACCAAUCCCAGAAACCCGAUCGUAGUCCGGAUCAUGAUCUGCAACUCGACUGCGUGAAGUCGGAAUCGCUAGUAAUCGCGGAUCAACGUAUGCAGUGAAUACGUUCCCGGGUCUUGUACCACCGCCCGUCACACCAUGGGAGUGGGUUUUACCGAAGUAGUUAGCCUAACCGUAAGGAGGGCGAUUACCACGGUAGGAUUCAUGACUGGGGUGAUCGUAACAAGGUAG